rnacentral:pre_miRNA from 1 species
AAGGUCCAACCUCACGUGUCCUGUAUGUGAUAAAGAGGGAUACGUGUGGUCAGACCUACC